GGUUGUGAGUAUGACCCUGAUGUGACAUUUGUUAGCCUAUUGAUUGCCAGGGUCUAGUCAGCUGAUCUGCUAGAGAGAUAGGUGCCCUUUCUCUCCCUCACUGCUUCAUAGGCAUGGCUCCUGAAGCUCCUUGAUUGAUUGGUUGAAGAGGACAGCAAGACCUCCUCAAUAGAGGGGUCCUUUCUUCAAUCCAAAGUAUAGUACCAGCUGUUCUCAUCUGGAAGAAACCCCAAAGAUGCUCUCAAAGAGAUGGGAGCAUGAAUCCCAGGGCAGAAACCCCAAGCCCUCAGACCCAUUUUGGGGAAGAGUUAUUUUA
rnacentral:snRNA from 1 species